UUGGAGGGCAAGUCUGGUGCCAGCAGCCGCGGUAAUUCCAGCUCCAAUAGCGUAUAUUAAAGUUGUUGCAGUUAAAAAGCUCAUAGUUGAAUUUCGGGAUCAAAUUGUCGGUCGUGCCUCGGUACGAACUGGUAUUAUUGGUUCCUCCCUUCUGAAGAACCGCGAUGUCAUUAAUUUGGUGUCGUGGGGAAUCAGGACCGUUACUUUGAAAAAAUUAGAGUGUUUAAAGCAGGCUUACGCUUGAAUACAUUAGCAUGGAAUAAUGAAAUAGGACGUUUGAUUCUAUUUUGUUGGUUUCUAGGAUCGACGUAAUGAUUAAUAGGGAUAGUUGGGGGCACUAGUAUUCAAUUGUCAGAGGUGAAAUUCUUGGAUUUAUUGAAGACUAACUACUGCGAAAGCAUUUGCCAAGGAUGUUUUCAUUAAUCAAGAACGAAAGUUAGGGGAUCGAAGACGAUCGGAUACCGUCGUAGUCUUAACCAUAAACUAUGCCGACUAGGGAUCGGAUGAUGUUAAUUUUUUAAUGACUCAUUCGGCGCCUUACGGGAAAC
rnacentral:rRNA from 1 species